GACGAACGCUGGCGGCGUGCUUAACACAUGCCAGUCGAACGGAAAGGCCCUGCUUUUGUGGGGUUCUCGAUUGGCGAACGGGUGAGUAACACGUGAGUAACCUGCCCUUGACUUUGGGAUAACUUCAGGAAACUGGGGCUAAUACCGGAUAGGAUCUCCUGCUGCAUGGUGGGGGUUGGAAAGUUUCGGCGUUUGGGGAUGUACUCGCGGCUUAUCAGAUUGUUGGUGGGGUAGUUGCUUACCAAGGCUUUGACGGGUAGCCGACCUGAGAGGGUGACCGGAAAAAAUGGGAAUGAGAGGCGGCAGAGAGGAAUACGGGAGGAAGGAGGGGGAAAUAAUGCAGAAAGGGCGGAAGAGUGAUGAAGGAACGCGGAGUGGGGAAUGACGGCAUUCGGGAUGUAAAGCGGUUUCGGAUGUGACGAAGAGUGAGAGAGGGUAAUGGGUAAAGAAGCAGGGGAAAACUAUG
rnacentral:rRNA from 1 species